CAGCACAUUGGAGGGGCCCCAGGAAAGAGAGGGAGAAGGAGUGGGAUGAGGUGGAAGAACAACCAACCAGGCAUCCAGAUAUAAAAGUGCAGAGUCACCUAUUAGAAAAUCACAGAAACUUCCUGCAAAUCACCUAGUCCAGAGAUGAGGAAACAGCUGCCCAUGGAGGAGAAAUGCCUUGACCAAGAUCAGAGUCGGAACCUCAGCCAGGCUAAACCCCAGAUCUUCCUCCUCCAGUGACCCACAAAGGGACACCACUGGACAGACAGCCCAGACCACAGUGAGGAGGAAGUCUUGCUUUUCUGGUUUCAACCCAGGAAGACAAUAGUUCUAGAAUCUUUUCUCAAGAAAUGAAACCUCACGAUGAAGCUCAACACACUGUUCCAUCAACUGUGUUGCUCAGAUUCCCGAUGACUUAUUUUUCCAUACGCUGCUCCUCUUUAAGUGCAAUUUUUCUGACGUGCCUAAGAACCAGAGCUAAACUGAAAUGAUUUGAAUCUCACCUCGAGCUUGGGACUGUGGCGGACAGGAG